GACGAACGCUGGCGGCGUGCUUAACACAUGCAAGUCGAACGGUAAGGCCCUUCGGGGUACACGAGUGGCGAACGGGUGAGUAACACGUGGGUGAUCUGCCCUGCACUUCGGGAUAAGCCUGGGAAACUGGGUCUAAUACCGGAUAGGACUCCUGGCCUCAUGGGUGGGGGUGGAAAGCUUUUGCGGUGUGGGAUGGGCCCGCGGCCUAUCAGCUUGUUGGUGGGGUAAUGGCCGAACAAGGCGACGACGGGUAGCCGGCCCGAGAGGGUGACCGGGCACACUCGAACUGAGAUACGGCCCAGACUCCUACGGGGGGCAGCAGUGGGGAAUAUUGCACAAUGGGCGCAAGCCUGAUGCAGCGACGCCGCGUGAGGGAUGACGGCCUUCGGGUUGUAAACCUCUUUCAGCUAUGACGAAGCGCAAGUGACGGUAGUAGCAGAAGAAGGACCGGCCAACUACGUGCCAGCCGCCGCGGUAA
rnacentral:rRNA from 1 species